UAGAGCAGUUGACUUUUAAUCAAUUGGUCGCAGGUUCGAAUCCUGCACGACCCACCAAUCUAUCGGUGGAAACGAGAAUAAAACGUGAAGGAUAACGUUGCUUUAGCAACGGCCCGAAGGGCGAGGCGAAGCCGAGUCAUCCUGCACGACCCACCA
rnacentral:sRNA from 1 species